CUGAUUUACCGUCCCAGGUCACAAACAAUAAUACCGCUAAGUGGAAAAGGCAAUAAUGGAAGCGCUUCAGAAAACUCUGACUUACCGGGGCGACCAUGCUCCUUACAGAAAUCUACUUCCAGACAAGGCUAUCUGUAAUUCAGGGAAGCAACAGGACGAAUCCAAAUACGUGGAGAUAGAUGAUCUUCUUGAUAUGAAAUCGGAAGGCGCAAAAACUGUCAAAGUUACUUUUACUGGUGAAGGAAGCCAGCUGCCAAUAUUUAAAUGUAAAAACGGCACCUCCACUGCUGGAAAUGAAAGCCCCGACGACCGAGAAAUGAAUGGCAAUGUAGCUAAACCCACAACCAUGAACUGUAAAUAUAAUAAAGAUUUUUCGCCGGGCGUCAGAGCACAACAGUUUCUCGCUGACGAUGUCCCUGGCUCUCCUGAAUCAGCUUCAUCCUCUGAAAUCUCCAAUAACGAAACGCCGCUUCAGAAGCGGGGCAUCAUCUCUGGAACUGAAACAAAAAAUGCACCUAAAAUGUCUAAGGCAAAACCCUCACUGGAUUACGAUAACGAUGAACUGGAAUACACGGAUAUCUUUUUGAAUAGAAAGAAUGAGCAAGAACCCCCUAGCACCCAGCAGUCGGACGAUUACGCAUCAAACGACAAUGAGGAUGAGACCCACUAUAUUUCAACUCACGAAAUACAGCUGUGUGAGUUAGAUGAUGAUGUUGAUUAUGACUUUGGGCAGAGGUCUUCUUGGGAUUUUGAGGACGACAACUUGGUCAAUUCCUUUGUGGAUUAUGCCUCUUUUGACAGUGAUGAAACUGUGGAAGGGACACAGAUAGAGGAUAGUGAUUGUGUAAAUGUGGAAAGCAAUCAGGCUCAAUCUAAUAAUACAGUUCAGCACACUAGUGGAGCAGCAGUCAGCACUAAGCAUGAAAGCGAUCUAUAUGACACGAACAAAUCCGCUAGCUCAGAUGAAAGUCUGUCAAAGAACCAAAACGGCAGUGGGAAUUCUGCAGGCCAGAUUCACCUGUCAAUCAAAACGACUUCCAGGGCUAUAAAUGAGCCUAACAACGUCAAAGAAAAGGAAAACAUUGGUUUUGAUGCCAAGUAUGAGAGAGACAUGAGCCGCUAUGUCUUAAAAAGCACUGGUGCUAAAACAGAGAAAAUCAGCGAUCGUGCGAAAUGUUUUAUUGCAGCUCCAGGACGUCUACACUUUGGAAGUAAAUUAAAAGGUAAGAAAGAUACCAAUGAAUACUCCAGUGGCGCAUCGAGUGCUGUCAGUGAGCUGGAUGAUGCUGACAAUGAAGUGCGUAAUUUAACUGCCAGAGCAUUCAGAAGUUUAGCUUGCCCUUAUUUUGACACAAUUAAUUUUAGCACUUCCAGCGACUCUUCGGCAUCUUUAUCAGAACAAGGCCUUGGGAUUAACAAGUGGUCAACGUUUGUUGACCUAAAAUAUGGCAAUCUGACCCAAAGAAGCAAGCAAAACGAGUUUUCCCAUAAGAGCUCUGCGUCAACUUUUGAAAUUAACAAGAAUUUGGCUAUAAGCAAUAUACAUCCACCUCAGAGUAAAAGCAUAGCUUUAAAUGGAAAAAUUGCAGAUAGCAAAAGCGGCAUUUCUUCAACAAAUGAAAUACAAGUGAAAGAAGAAAUUGAACAAGGUGUAAUAACUUUGAGUGAAACUUUAAAUGUUCGUUGCAAUGUUAAAACGGGUGUCCCUGGAAGCGAAAGGCGUGCAAAGUUUGCAGAAAAUGUGGCACGAUCGCGUUCUACAGAUGAAGUUACAGACACCUUGCCAAGCGAGCCGGGGGGUGAGACCAGUAAGCAAACUUGCAAAGCAGGGGAAGCCAUGGAAGAUCCACACAAGAAAGCGCAAUUCGCCACAAGCCUUCUCAAAAAUGUCAUCUCUAAGAAAAUGCAGUUUGAACAGGAGCGCAAAAUGGAAAGAGGAGAGAUAUCUGAACCCUCCUUUCCGGGAUUGUCUCCUGGUCUGUCUUGUAAAGAGUUCGAAUUCCCGAAAGAAAAGGUAGGUGGUUUUCAAAGGCAAAACUCCAGGUUCUCAGAAGGGAGUUCUGAAUUCACAAUUGUUUCAUUGAAUGAUAUAGAAGAUUUUGUGGAAAGCAAACCGUGUGAUGUCAAGGACUCGGAAGACACUUUAACUCUUACACCAGAAACUAAUUUUGAGUCCUCCUUUGAUGCGGGGUUUGAUACCAAAAAAGGAGCAUCUGAUGCAGCCAGGCAUAAGUUACUUCGUAGCCACAAUAGCGCAUUUAGAUCAUGGAGGGACGGUAAGCUAGAAUUUCAAAAGGAAUAUAAAAACGAUGAUAAAACCCUUACAGGGAAAUCGGCUACCUCCACAGAUAAGACGCGUUUGCAGCACCAACUGAGCAGCAGCAAAUCAACUAAAAUGUCUCAUCUGUUUGUGCCGAGCAUUCAGCUUGUUUCCACUGAGAAUGGAAUAGGAAAAACACAGCCAAACAUCAAAUAUUCAACCAGGGCAGUUACAGAUCUGGCAGAUGGAAGCAACCUUCUGAGCCUUGACACCUUGUAUGCAGCUGAUUCAGACAGAAGCUUGGUAACUUCUAAGUCACCUGAAAUCAAAAUAAGCCUGCGGAGCGUAGAGGAAAACAAACGCAACCCGUUCAACAUUGCUAAGCUGCUAACUCCCAAUAUAGGUUGCAAUGCGGCCAACCUGAUAAAGACAGCUGAUGACUUCAAAUGCCAAGCGCUCUCUGCAGCAUUAAAGGGUGAGUCGUCGGAAAAAGUGCCCCAUUUCACGGUCAGAGACAUAAGGGACAAGAAAUACAAGCUCCAAACACCGAUUCAUCAAGUCAGGGACGUGCGCAAGCUGGUUAAAAGCUCGUAUCACUUCGUUUCUCUGGACAACAACGACCCCAAAGGCUCUGCUUCUGAUCAGAACGCAGAGCAGACAUCUAUCCAGCAGGGCCAUUUCAGAAAACAGGGCUCACUUUCACCUAUAGUAAUAAAGUGCCAGUCAGUAAAUACAAAAAGCAACGUGACACCAUCAAAACGCAGACCAGUUGAGGGUAUUUUGGAGGCAGACAGAGUGUCUACUCCUCCAGCAGAGGGUGCCAAAAAAGGAACCAUACUGGUCUACAGAACAACAGACAGAGUUCCCUUGGUUCCUGCAUCAAAGCAACAGAAAAGCGAAACGUCUGAGGGGCCUGCUGGGGUGAAAACUGAAACCAGGUCAGCUAAACAGAAACCGGAAAUAAUUAUCGAACCCGGGGAAAAGAAACCAGAAUCAAAAAUGGCCAAUCAGGCAGCCUUGGAAAAACUCAGAGCUGCUGUUAAAACCAUGGAACAGUUGUAUGUUUUCGACAGAAACGAGUGGAAGCGCAAAACCCAACCACAGCCAAUUACUGAUAGUCAUGUGCUGUCACUCAUUGCCAGUGAAGAGGGUCCAGAGGGCAAUCAGGAGCAGUGGGCGAUAACAACAGCAGAACGAGAAGAGGAGAAUGUGACUGUAAGUCCAUCGACAGCAGAAAGAUUGAUCAGGAGAAACUCUUAUCCAACUGCAGAAAAGUUAAGUCAAACUGCAGCUGCAGGGUCAAUGUUCGAUUUUUUGCGGAAGAAAGAUGUCAAAGAGAACCUGAAAAUGUUUCACAUUCCCCUUAAAAAAGAGGACAAAGAAGUGCCCAAAUCUCUUUCUCAGCAAAGUGGAGCCUUCACCAACAAAAAUGUUUUCACUUUUACUAACAACCAGAAAACUUCCUCCAGAGGCAGCAGUAUCAAUGUCACCAAUAAACUGCCUCAGCCCUAUACUUCUUCACAACCACCUUUCAGCACAAAAAGCAUUGUUCCCAAAUCUACUAAAAUCCCCAUGUCCUUUAAAAUAUCACAAGCCAAAGCUGCACCUGCCAAAAUGGAGAAAAGUAGCAGUGAAGCAGAAAAAACGCAGACUCAUUCAACCUUUACAGCAGAUUCAGAAAACUACCUUACAAUACCAGUUAAACCUCAAACUAGCGAAGCCAAACCUACCACAACCAGUCAAGAGCAAAAUGCUGUGUACACCUUUGCAGCCACAGAAGCCAAACCCCAGACCACCAGUACUUUGAGCUACUUCAACCCAGCUGAUUCUAGAAGACAAGAAGACAGCAGCCAGUCCCCCAAAAGAUCUUCCGUUGUUAUGGAGACACAGUCCCCAGAUACCCCUACUGCCACCAUCUACCAUCACUCCCUGCCAAUGGCAAUGUCUGGUACACAGCCUCAGGUGAUUUGCUUUUCACAAUCUGUGCUGCCACCUAUAGACCAGUUACAGCAGACACAAAGGAAGAUGCUGCUGGAUCCCACAACUGGACAAUAUUACCUUGUAGAUACCCCCGUCCAACCUGCUACAAAGAGGCUUUUUGAUCCUGAAACAGGGCAGUAUGUGGAUGUCCCUAUGCCCCAGCAGCCAAUGGCCCCAGUGCCCAUGCCUAUCUCACCAUUAGCAUUAAGUUCUGGAGCUUAUGGUGCCACGUACAUGCUAUACCCAGGUUUUUUGCCCACAACCGCUGUGUUGCCCACCAGGACUUUGCAGACACAGUUGUCAUCUCAUUCAGAGGCAGAUGACAUUGAUAAAAUGAACAGCAAAGAAGUGAUACAUUUGGGGCAACAGGGAGAUGUUGCUUACAUGGAAAGCCCCUACUACAUCCCCACUGGGAAAUCUGCACAGGCACCAUCUACCAGCCAGCACAUAACAAGCGGGGGGUCAAAAGCAUUCUCUGAUGGAAAACCUGUGAUUAGUAUUGUGUCACAGCAAGGUCCAAGAAUAAUCGCCCCACCUUCCUUUGACGGAACUACCAUGCGUUUUGUUGUGGAGCACAGGUAAAUCACUGGAGAUCGACAUAUGUACAUGAAAUUGGCAAAGACAAAUUGGUUAUGCUGAAGCUGGAUUUACGCUGUUCCUGUUGGCCAACCCCCUGCACCUUAUUAUUAGUGAUCACAACCGUAGUAUCAAUGGUUUUCUGCUUUAAUGGAGCAAGUUAUGAAGAACCACCCCCUUUGGAUUAUGAAGACGGCUUGGUACUGUCAGAGAGAUUUAAAACAAUACCUUUUAUUACCACUGCUGCCAACCGAAUGCUGUGUGUUUUGUCAGAUUGAUUUAUUUAUCUAAAUACCCCUCAAUUUGUUUUUAUUUCUUUUUUGUUAAUCUUUGCAGCAUGCAGAAAUAUUUGAAACUGUGCAUUGUGACUACUGCUUAUCUGAUAAUUAUAUCACCUUGUUCUGCCUUUAAGUAUUUAGGUGAACCCUGAUCAUUUUGUGUAUGAAUAAUCAAGAAUAUGUUUGAAAGACAAUCUUGACUUUCAAUUGACUUGGCAACAUUUUGUACCAUUCAGACUUACCAAACCAACCUUCUUUUCUUUUUUUUUAAUCAUAAAAACAUAAUUUAAGUUAUUUUUUUUUAAAGUAUCUUUUUUCAGUCCUAUCUUAAUGGUAAAACAUCAGUCUUGUUUUUUUUUUUUCAUUAGCGAGCAUAAUAUUAAUUUUAUUUAAGAAUCUGUCAAUAGUACAGCUUCAGUUCCUGUUUAAUUUUAAUUAAUAAAAAUAUUAAAAAAACAUAAUAUGAAGAUUUAUUGAUUUUAAACCCUUUCCCCACUUUGAAACUGCAGUUAGAAAAAAUAUAUAUUCUUCAGAAACAAUUGCUGCAAUUUAUAAAAAGAGUUUGUGAAGAUAUUUAUUGUGAUUCAAUUGUACAGAUUCAGCUGUUAUAACUAUGAACAGUGCAUGGCACCUGCAGACAUUAAUAGUGUGGGUUAUGCUUUCAGAUAGGUUUAUUAAGUUUUACCCUUAUCCAAAUUCCCUUUAUAUGAAUCUCCCUCCUAUCUAAAAUGGAGGACCUCUACUAUGAUGGCUUUUUGAGGAAUUAAAAAAAUAUAUAUAUUAAAAACUGAUGUUAAAUUCCACAAAGAAUACAGUAAAAUGCCAAGAUCUCAUUUUAAUUAUAUUGUGAUCUCAACAAAUUCUCUAUUUAAAUUGUGUAACCCCAAGUGAUCCCCCAUAUCCUUUUGCAUAUUUCCAUGCUCACAAAAAGUUACAGUAAAUUCACUAUAAGUUACUGUUAAUAUAAACUACAGUUAAGUGUGCUAGUUUAUAAAGCCUCUUCAUAACAGGAAAUAUAUGUAUUUCCAUGUCCCAGAAGUUGUUCCCAAUGUAAGUAUCUGCCUGUGUCAUGCACUGUUUGAAGUAAUGUCUCUAUGGGAAUAUAUCCACUGAGAUACAAUAGCUUGUUUCCAGGGGUGUCCUAUUCUAUGUUUGGGCUUUGAGGGUUUGAAAACCUUUUAAUGAAGCUUGUCGUGCACAGGAAGGAUUUAGCCAGACCAGAAUUUGUUAACUAGUAUUAGAAUUUAACUAGGACAGUGUGGUUUAACACCCUGGCUCAUUCUCGAAAUAGCCCCUCAGGUCCUUUCAUUUCCACAGAACAGACAGAAUGUUCUAAAUCCAUUUAGUUAUUUACUUCCUAUGGUAUUUGUGCGGUACAUAUUGUUGUACUGGACACAACACAAUAGGCAGUUCAUAUGAUUGGAAUUCAUAUGAAUAAGUUCCAGGUAUAGAUUAAAAACACAUUUGGUAUGCAUUGAACACCAUGUGUAAUGAUUCAUAUGUGGUUCAUGCAUAUUCCCAGUGUUACAGCCUCAUCUCCCUGGAUUCUGAUCUCAUUGGAUCUCAGAAACUAAAAAGAGACAGGCUUGGUCAAUACUUGGAAGAUGGAAGCCCUCCAGGAACAGUCUGCCUUCUGGACUACAACGCAUCAUCCACAGCUCCUAGUGUUAGGGGCACUGUAUUGUUUUAGAUAAUGUCUGUGGUCAUUAGAUGCAAUGAUGCUGUCUCGAAGAAGAGAACUGGGCUGUUAAACAAGUGCCUUAGCUAAAUUGCCAAAACAAGUGAUAGAAACUGCCUUGGCUAAACCCUACCAGCACUGGUUAAUAAUUUAACAAACCACUUCACAAAUUCCCAUUAUUGGGGUCAGGUCAUAGCUGAACACAAGACGUUGCAUAUCUCAGUGCAUCUACAAAAACAACCAAUUAAUUUUCUCAUGGAAAGCAGUGUCCAGUGAGGAUGACAAGGGGGAAAGGGGCUAAAUCAGUAUAAAAUAUCUUCUAUUUAAAUUAUUUGAAAGCAAAACAAAUUCUCUCCUAUUGGUUAAAGCAUCAUAGCUGUGGCCCCAGUAAUUUACUUGUGGUCUUUAAUGUCAAUACAGUUUAAACUACUGAACAAUCUCUAAUCCAAGCAUUUGAAAUGUAUUUCAUCUUUUUGUUUUCUUUUUGUUUUAAGAUUUGAUGGAUUGCUUGUAUUAUUUGUUUUAUCAUGUUUGUUUUUUGUUUUGUUUUUUCCGGGGGAGGGGGGGAGGGGGGUAUCUUGAAUUUUUAAUUGUGACAAUUCAGUAUAAUCAUAUUCAUUUAAAAUAUUGUUUAUGUAUUUUGAAGAUUCAUUUUUGAGUUGUGUAUUUUGGGUUUUGUAGGCUGCUAACAGUUAUAUGGCUUUAUUUCUUGGCAAUUUGAAUUUUGUUCUUUGAAAACAUUCAGAAGAAGAAAGCAAGUCUUUCUUAACAGCCUCUAGUGAGCUUGGUGAGGGUUAUUGGAUGUGCUGAACUGUUCUGAAAUAAUUGAGAAUGAAGAUUGUAUACAUACACACAGGCGAAUCACUUUUAAAUUACUCAUUGGGCUGAGGGAUAUUUUAUUUUGAACGAAGCAUAUGUAAAAUUGAUAGUACAAGAAUGUUUUUUUAUUACCACAUAUAAUUUUCCCUUUUUAAGCUCUGCGUUUUAUGCUUGCUCUGAAAACCAUUGAUGACUCUAAUGCUAUUUUUAUAAGAACUUCUGACUGAUCCAUAUAACUAUCAUUUUUUAGUAAGCAUAGUUUGCUGUUUUGUAUUGAAUACAAAGCUGUGUAUCAGGAACUGCUGGACAGUACUUACACUUGCAUACAAGUAAAACUGAUUAUCUGUGUUGUCUGUGAUUAAAACUAACUGUUACACCAUUAUAUAUUUUAAAGAGGUGCUUUAUGAGCAAAACCCCAUAGCACAAUUUGUGGAUUUGCAUAGGAACUUCUCUGUCAGGGUUUCCUUUGGCUGUUUCACUUGAAAAACAUCUAUAUUUACAUACUGGUAACAACAAGUGUUAUUACCUGCUAGAAUGCAGGUGCAAGUUAAUUGCAAUAUAUGGAAUAUUUGUUCUCAAGCACUAUUGUUAUUAAAAGUGAGAUUUGUUCAGUGGUUUUUCGUACAUUUUUCAGGUAAUGUAUGUCAAUGUCAAAUCUGUUGCACACCUUUUACUUCCCCUGUUUAUGUACAAAUGUAGCAGGUUUUUAUUGUAGUCACAAGGGUUGCAAAAGCUUAACGCAAAAGUAAAAGAGAAACACUUCAUUUUGAAAUUGAACUCAACAAUGAAUUGUGUCAAGGUUUGCAUGCUGCUAAUCAAGCCAGUUACAUUGGUAAACUAUCAUUUGUAUUGAAGGAGUGAGUUUUUAAAAUUUUGUGGCAUCAACUUUGCUGGUAUUUCAUUCCUUUUUUCUGACUUUAAAGCCAACUAGUUCUUUAGUUUCGACUUGCUACUAGUAUCAUUUUGUAUAAGUAUUUAACAUGUUAAUGCUAGCCUUCGGAUGUUGAAACUUGAUUUUACUUUGCUGGAACUGUACGCUGUCGGGUGUUUACAAUUUGCUAUCUGGGGAUGUAGUUGUAAAAGCUAUGUGGAGAUGGUAAGAGUUAUGUGGAGGAUGUGAGUUGGGGAGGGGAGCGGUGUACUGCACAGUCCAUCUGUGACAGGAAAGUGGAAUGUGAUGAAGUGAGAAUGCACCGUGGUAAAUAAAUGAAAGAUGUCAAUGUUAUUACACUGCUACAACAGAAUGAAAAAAACAAUGACAAGAUGGAGAUAUUAAGAGGAGCUGUGGUUGGAAAAUUGCACUAGCAAAGUGUUGCACAUGAAAAAACUUUCGGGAGACAAAGAUAUUGUAAAAAUGACAUGUAUGUACCUGUAUACAUCCUUUGGUAGCAGAUAUUAAUGGAUUUUGCAAGCAUUUGUAUGUUUGGAAAGCUGUCCAAUAAAACGGCUUACUUUUCCUAUA